rnacentral:lncRNA from 1 species
UAACAUUUGGCCACUAUUUUUUGAGAGAAUGACUGUGUCGAGUGUAGACCAUUCAGCUUUCUGCCUGACCUAUAGUAGACAGUUUUCAGUGCUAUUACCUGUUCGGAAGAUAUGGAACAUGAAGGCGUCUUUGUUCUUUUCCUACCCUGUAUGCUGGAGGUUGAACCCAGGGCAUUAAGCCUGCUGUGCAAGUCUUCUUCCUCAGUCUGUAGUCUCAGCCAUUUCACCUUGUUUUGAAACAGGGUCUCUGUAGAGCCCAUCUGAUCCUGACCUCAGUCCUCCUGUGACACUUUUCUGGGGUUAUGGGCUUGCACCACCACACCCAACUCAGUGAAAGAUUAAAUAGGUGAAAGGAAUGUGGCUGGGACAGGCUAGAUGGGUAAGAACCAGCCAGCCAGAUCUGAAGGGUGCAUGUGAAACACUGAGAGAUGGUGAGCUAUCAUGGCUUUUACUGUGCUGGGUAAAACUGGUCAGGCAGAAGGAAGCAGAGACUGAUAGAGGCCUGGGGGAACAGGGAUGGGAGUAAUGUUGGAUUCGGAGGGGAGAGACCCAAAGUACCCAUGGGAUGCAGUCAUGUCUCCAGUAUCCCUUGGGAGAAAGGAAUCCUUGCCAGGUGGGACUCAGCAGGCAGAGCUGCAGGGGGAGAGAGGCACCUGGGACCUGCAGACCAGGUAGGCCGCCCUGGUUGUUAGUUGGGGCGCAUAGCCAGGUGCAGAUUCAAAAGACUGAUUGAAGCCUUUUGGCAACUCUAGCCUUUGUAGGGUAAACAUCACCUGUCUCCUGCCACCUGCUAUGACUGUGCCAGCAAGGUACCCUGGCAGUCCCAAAGAGGCCUAGCUUUCUUGCUGCCCUGGUAGAGCAAAACUACUCUCCAGAGAGGCGGGGAGCUUCGAAAGUCUCAGAUGACAAUAAGGUGUCUCCUACUAAAGGGCCUUCCCACUGAGGAAGGCAGAGAGGGGCCCUGGGAGCCCAGACAGCUGAGCCAACUAGGGGGAGGGCUCAGAGCAAAAGCAAGAGCAGGUGCAGAUUUCGAGGAGGGUGUGGCCUGAGGGGAAGUAGGGAUCUUGGUAGGCUACAAAACGUCCCUCCUCCUCCCCCAGGCACAGCUGGCUUCUCCAGGAACCUGAUGACCUAGUUACCAUGCUUAGAAAUAGUUAGCUUAGCUUAUAGUUCAGGACUGUGCCAGUCUAUCAUCCUUGAGACUUCUUGGGUCCAAAAGGUACCCUGGAAUUUCCCCAGAGUAGUUCCAUGUGAAGAACAUGCACCUUGUCACGUGCAUGGGGUUGUUGCCCAAGGAUGGACACAGUUAAUAAGGUUUCUUCUUUGCUGUGCCUCCUGCCAAGCCCAAGGAGAAGUCCACCCCGUCCACUUCUCUCCAGGGGGUGGUGGAUGGCCAGAAGAAGCCACAAACUCCCUGAGGUACAUAGGGCGAGGAACUCCUGUUGCCAUGAACACAAGUCCUCUCUACUUUUCUCCUCUCAGUAGGGUGGUAAAAGCAACUACCUGGGAGGAUGUGGCAAGACUGAGGUCAGGACCAGCUGGACUCCAGAGACCAUGUAGAAAAUGGUUGAGACUACAGCUGGAUGAGUGAGAAAGGUUCUGGGGUCUCUGGAGGCCUCCACCCUCUUAGUAGCAGCUGCUCCUGGUGUUUGUGGUACUUGCCUUGCCAGUGCCUCCUAGGGAGAAAAUUGGUGAUCACCGUUGAAGUGUUAGGUACAGUAGGGUUAGAAGUGCAACUCAUUUGGUAGAGUGUUUGCCUAGGGAGAAAGCCUAGGGAUCGAGUCCAGCACUGCACUUAUCCUGGCUUUGUGUAACCCAGGCCUAAAACUCAGUUUUCAGGAGGAUCAGAAGUUCAAGGUUGUCUUUGACUAUAUAAGGAGUUAUAAACUAGCCUAGCCCUACCUCAGACUAACAAAAAGUAAGUAAUAAUGAGUUGGAUAUAGUAGCUGGGCACAGUAACUCCUGCCUGAAGUCCCAGUACUUGGGAGGCUAAGGCAAGAAGAAUGCCAUCAAGGCUAGCCUGUACUAAAGAGUAAAACCUGUUUGAUGGGAGUGGGGAGGAGGGGCAAGGGUGGGUGAGAUGGCUCAGUGGAUAGAGGCAUUUGUUAUACAUCCUAAUGACAUGAGUUCAGACCCCAGAACUCACAUGUAGAGAGAAAGACGCUACUUCACCUGACUUCCAUAGGCAAGCCUCCCCCAUUUCACUGCACAUAAAGAAAGGAACAAAUAAAUAAAUGGUUAAAAAAAACAGCAAGGAGAUAAUAACUUACAGUGCUUUUCUGGAAACACUCUGCUGAGCUUAAAAACAACUAUUAAGAUGCCUGGAGCCUGGCAUACAGUAACUUAACUACUCAGUGUGACAGCUACUGCUAUUGCUGUUAUCCCAUUGCUGUCACAGGUGGUCAAGUUGCUUUAAUUAUUGUUGGAAUUUUCUUUCCUUCUUUCUUCCUUCCUUCCUUCCUUUCUUUCUUUCUUUUCUUAUCUUUUCUUUUUUCUUUCUUUUUCUUUUUCUUUCUUUUUUUUUUUUUUUUUUAGACAAAGUUGCCCUAGGUAGCCAUGGCUGUCCUGGAACUUGUUAUAUAGACCAGGCGGGCCUUGAACUCAGAAACCUGCCUGCCUCUACCUCCAGAGUGCUGGGAUUAAAGGAGCUACUUUCUGAAAGCAAAUGUUUGGGCUACAGAAGAUGUGACUAUCCUUUGGCCCAAGAGUUAGGAAAACAGAGACCUUUGGCUCACAGCCUUGUGCCUGCCUCCCUCACCAGGGAGGGCCUCCGGUCAGAACUGGUACACAGCUGGACCCAUGUUGUUGACUCAGUAUUUGGCAACAGGGUGGAUUUUCUCUAAUCUUUGCCACUCUAAAAUGGCAGGUGCCUUCAUAUUUGAUGACUGGAAGAUUUAUGAGUUGAACAUUUAAAGUGUACGGGAGCACACAAGCCUAGCACACAGUGAGUGCCUCCAUAUCUUACAUGUAAACUGUGUGGGCUCUGUGGAGUUUCUCUGGGAUGCCCUCAUUUCUUGUUUGUUCAAUGGUCGUAAGCCUCUUGCCUAAGCUCUGCCUGUUGCCCGCCUCAUAUGCUGAAGAAAGAUAACACCCGUUUUGCCUCCCUCCUGAACUAGCAGAGAGGCACAAGGAGGAGAUAAGUGAAAAAGCACUUUGAAAACUAUAAAUGUUUGGUCUUGCUGCUCCUCCUUGACUAAGGCCACAGCCAUAGAUAUCUGUAUCAUUCAUUCAUUCAUUCAUUCACCGAGACAGCAACC